UAGGUACUACUUUGAACUUGG
ensembl:piRNA 21ur-5101 ncRNA